rnacentral:lncRNA from 1 species
UUGUCUCUCCAAUUAUUUUUCAUUAUUUACCUACCUACACCAUCUCCCAUUAAUUCCCAUGAUUUAUCAAUCACCUCAUUUUCCAAGAAAUUUCCUCCCAUAAUCAUCUUCAGAUCAGAAAUGAGAGAAAAAUCAGAAUUCACUCGAGAGUUGUAAUAACUAUUACAGCUAAUUAUACAUAAAUCACUUAUUUUGUGCCCAGUAAAUAACCAUCUAAAUGGCUGGUAUGCUUCCUGGAGUUGAAUCUGCAAGAAGAAGAAGAUUCCAUUCUGAUUCUCCAAACCCAUCUGGUUAUAACUUCACAAGACGUUCAUCUUUUUGUUUAUAUUCAAGCAAUCAUGAAACCCUUCACAGUUCAUCCUCUUCCUCGGUACUAAAAUCGAAAUUUUCUUAUGGGAUUUUUUUUUUGUAUCUAUAUGUAUGUAUAUUUUUUUGUACGAUUUUUAUGAAAUUUCAGGGUUUUGUUGCUCGUAACCAUGGUGAUUUAGAACCUUAACAAGUUGAAACUGCAAUGUUCUUGUGUCUCUUGUGAUAAUAAGUGAUUAUUUGUCGAAGAAAGUGGCUGUUGAACAGUAUUUUUGUAAGUUGCCCAAUGCCAUUUAUUUUUGGCCCAAUAAUAGUUCAUUGUCGUGAACAAAAUUGGGCUUAGGCCCAUAAUUUAGAAGCCUCUGUUAAUGGCAAAGUUCAAUUUGAAUGAUCUCGGCCCUGUUAACCCAACAGCGUCGUCAUUAAAGGUGGCAUGGCCUCGGCCCAAAGUAGAAGUCCACUAUAUAAAUGAUAUUUUUAGUGAGCCACUUUCGAAUUUCAACUAUUUAAAAUAUUUUUCUUUAAUAAUAUUUCAUAAGGGACAGAUGUCAAUAUAAUAAUCAAUAACUACACAUAGUGGUAGCGUAAUUUGUAUAAAUUAUUAAAAAUAAUAAUGGUUGUCACGCUCAUUUAUACACAAAAGGUUUAUACUUUAUAUGCAUGAGUUGCAUUUUUAAUUAUAAAAUAAAACAAGAAAAUCCUAACCCACUACACAAGUAGCAAGUUUGGAUAAGCAUAUAACAUGCUUUAUAGUUUGUCAUUCAAAGCUUGUGUAACACAAGAUAUGACACAUCAACCUAAUUUGAUGAGCUUAAUCAUCACCAAAGAUAAAAAAGAAAAAUUGAUCAUAAUCCAAUCUUAGUAUUGAAUAUCCACUCACAAGCAUAAGUCACACGAAAAGGGUACGAUUGAAUUUACACGCAACCAGUAUAAUUAGAUACUUCAUUUCAAAUCAGUUUUCAAAUGGAAUACCAAACACAAUAUGGCAUACGGGAAUUAGUCUGACAAUCGCAUGGAUCAAGGUAAUUAAAUGAGCCUCUAGCCGACAUCCAUGUGCAAGGAAUAGUGGCUAUACACUCUCUAACAGGACACGAUCAUCCUAGUAUUUAAAUAUUACGACUACAUCGUGUUAGAGAUGAUACAUAGGUUAGGCUUUGCUUAGUCACAAGGCCGACGUUGCACAUUUUUUCUUUCAAAUUCUUCAGUUUAUACUUUAUAGAGAUAAGUUUAUAGUUUGGAGUAUGCUAGGUGAAAAAUGUUAUUUGUACUCGACAUUUGACACGUCGGGUUACUUGAUGUGAGUGAGGGGGUCAGGCCCCACACAUUUAUUAGCAUGUGGACCCAAACCUCAUUCGAGUAGCAGAUAACUCGGAGUGUCAAACUCCGACUACUUGUAGCAAAACUCAUGCUAGGUGAUCAGAUUCUACUUUGCGCAUUUCUUACAGAUAUACACUUAAUCAUUCUUCAUUUAUUCAUGGCAAAUAACACAAGCAAAAUAGAUCAAAUCAAAUACUGCCAACAUAGCAUCUGGAAAACUUUCGUUUUUUCCUUAAUAGUUUACACAAUGCAAGAAAGCUACAAUCACAAUCAUAUCAAUGGUGGGAUCCCACUGUUGUCUUGUCUCUCCAAUUAUUUUUCAUUAUUUACCUACCUACACCAUCUCCCAUUAAUUCCCAUGAUUUAUCAAUCACCUCAUUUUCCAAGAAAUUUCCUCCCAUAAUCAUCUUCAGAUCAGAAAUGAGAGAAAAAUCAGAAUUCACUCGAGAGUUGUAAUAACUAUUACAGCUAAUUAUACAUAAAUCACUUAUUUUGUGCCCAGUAAAUAACCAUCUAAAUGGCUG